UACGAAGGGGGCAAGCGCUGUUCGGAAUUACUGGGCGUAAAGGGCGCGUAGGCGGCUUAUCAAGUCAGGCGUGAAAUUCCCGGGCUCAACCUGGGGGCUGCGCUUGAUACUGAUUGGCUUGAAUGCGGGAGAGGAUAGUGGAAUUCCCAGUGUAGAGGUGAAAUUCGUAGAUAUUGGGAAGAACACCGGUGGCGAAGGCGGCUAUCUGGCCCGUAAUUGACGCUGAGGCGCGAAAGCGUGGGGAGCAAACAGG
rnacentral:rRNA from 1 species